rnacentral:rRNA from 1 species
UCAGAAUGAACGCUGGCGGCAUGCCUUACACAUGCAAGUCGAACGAAGCCUUAGGGGUUAGUGGCGCACGGGUGCGUAACGCGUGGGAAUCUGCCCCUUGGUUCGGAAUAACAGUUAGAAAUGACUGCUAAUACCGGAUAAGGACGUAAGUCCAAAGAUUUAUCGCCCAGGGAUGAGCCCGCGUAGGAUUAGCUAGUUGGUGUGGUAAAAGCGCACCAAGGCGACGAUCCUUAGCUGGUCUGAGAGGAUGAUCAGCCACACUGGGACUGAGACACGGCCCAGACUCCUACGGGAGGCAGCAGUGGGGAAUAUUGGACAAUGGGCGAAAGCCUGAUCCAGCAAUGCCGCGUGAGUGAUGAAGGCCUUAGGGUUGUAAAAGCUCUUUUACCCGG